ACAACGAAGAGUUUGAUCCUGGCUCAGGAUGAACGCUAGCGACAGGCUUAACACAUGCAAGUCGAGGGGCAGCACAGGUAGCAAUACCGGGUGGCGACCGGCGCACGGGUGAGUAACGCGUAUGCAACUUACCUAUCAGAGGGGGAUAACCCGGCGAAAGUCGGACUAAUACCGCAUGAAGCAGGGGCCCCGCAUGGGGAUAUUUGCUAAAGAUUCAUCGCUGAUAGAUAGGCAUGCGUUCCAUUAGGCAGUUGGCGGGGUAACGGCCCACCAAACCGACGAUGGAUAGGGGUUCUGAGAGGAAGGUCCCCCACAUUGGUACUGAGACACGGACCAAACUCCUACGGGAGGCAGCAGUGAGGAAUAUUGGUCAAUGGGCGUAAGCCUGAACCAGCCAAGUCGCGUGAGGGAUGAAGGUUCUAUGGAUCGUAAACCUCUUUUAUAAGGGAAUAAAGUGCGGGACGUGUCCCGUUUUGUAUGUACCUUAUGAAUAAGGAUCGGCUAACUCCGUGCCAGCAGCCGCGGUAAUACGGAGGAUCCGAGCGUUAUCCGGAUUUAUUGGGUUUAAAGGGUGCGUAGGCGGCCUUUUAAGUCAGCGGUGAAAGUCUGUGGCUCAACCAUAGAAUUGCCGUUGAAACUGGGGGGCUUGAGUAUGUUUGAGGCAGGCGGAAUGCGUGGUGUAGCGGUGAAAUGCUUAGAUAUCACGCAGAACCCCGAUUGCGAAGGCAGCCUGCCAAGCCAUGACUGACGCUGAUGCACGAAAGCGUGGGGAUCAAACAGGAUUAGAUACCCUGGUAGUCCACGCAGUAAACGAUGAUCACUAGCUGUUUGCGAUACACUGUAAGCGGCACAGCGAAAGCGUUAAGUGAUCCACCUGGGGAGUACGCCGGCAACGGUGAAACUCAAAGGAAUUGACGGGGGCCCGCACAAGCGGAGGAACAUGUGGUUUAAUUCGAUGAUACGCGAGGAACCUUACCCGGGUUUGAACGCAUUCGGACCGAGGUGGAAACACCUUUUCUAGCAAUAGCCGUUUGCGAGGUGCUGCAUGGUUGUCGUCAGCUCGUGCCGUGAGGUGUCGGCUUAAGUGCCAUAACGAGCGCAACCCUUGCCACUAGUUACUAACAGGUAAAGCUGAGGACUCUGGUGGGACUGCCAGCGUAAGCUGCGAGGAAGGCGGGGAUGACGUCAAAUCAGCACGGCCCUUACAUCCGGGGCGACACACGUGUUACAAUGGCGUGGACAAAGGGAGGCCACCUGGCGACAGGGAGCGAAUCCCCAAACCACGUCUCAGUUCGGAUCGGAGUCUGCAACCCGACUCCGUGAAGCUGGAUUCGCUAGUAAUCGCGCAUCAGCCAUGGCGCGGUGAAUACGUUCCCGGGCCUUGUACACACCGCCCGUCAAGCCAUGGGAGCCGGGGGUACCUGAAGUCCGUAACCGAAAGGAUCGGCCUAGGGUAAAACUGGUGACUGGGGCUAAGUCGUAACAAGGUAGCCGUACCGGAAGGUGCGGCUGGAACACCUCCUUU
rnacentral:rRNA from 1 species